rnacentral:rRNA from 1 species
UAAAUCUGGGACAAGCCCUGGAAACGGGGUCUAAUACCGGAUAAUACCUGCCGAGGCAUCUUGGCGGGUUGAAAGCUCCGGCGGUGCAGGAUGAGCCCGCGGCCUAUCAGCUUGUUGGUGGGGUGAUGGCCUACCAAGGCGACGACGGGUAGCCGGCCUGAGAGGGCGACCGGCCACACUGGGACUGAGACACGGCCCAGACUCCUACGGGAGGCAGCAGUGGGGAAUAUUGCACAAUGGGCGAAAGCCUGAUGCAGCGACGCCGCGUGAGGGAUGACGGCCUUCGGGUUGUAAACCUCUUUCAGCAGGGAAGAAGCGCAAGUGACGGUACCUGCAGAAGAAGCGCCGGCUAACUACGUGCCAGCAGCCGCGGUAAUACGUAGGGCGCAAGCGUUGUCCGGAAUUAUUGGGCGUAAAGAGCUCGUAGGCGGCUUGUUGCGUCGGAUGUGAAAGCCCGGGGCUUAACCCCGGGUCUGCAUUCGAUACGGGCAGG